rnacentral:tRNA from 1 species
AGCUCGUCGUCGGGUGGGACGACGCGCCCGCCGUCUGGGACGCGGUGAUCGACGCCGGUGUCCGCCCGUGCGGGCUCGGCGCCCGCGACACGCUGC